ACGCUCGACACCUACGGGGGGCAGCAGUGGGGAAUAUUGCACAAUGGGGGAAACCCUGAUGCAGCGACGCCGCGUGAAGGAUGAAGUAUUUCGGUAUGUAAACUUCUAUCAGCAGGGAAGAAAGUGACGGUACCUGACUAAGAAGCCCCGGCUAACUACGUGCCAGUAGCCGCGGUAAUCUGGAGCGGGCUGGCAAGGC
rnacentral:rRNA from 1 species